rnacentral:rRNA from 1 species
AUUGAACGCUGGCGGCAGGCCUAACACAUGCAAGUCGAACGAGUGGCGGACGGGUGAGUAAUGUCUGGGAAACUGCCCGAUGGAGGGGGAUAACUACUGGAAACGGUAGCUAAUACCGCAUACCAUCAGAUGUGCCCAUGUGGGAUUAGCUAGUUGGGGGGGUAAUGGCUCACCUAGGCGACGAUCCCUAGCUGGUCUGAGAGGAUGACCAGCCAAACUGGAACUGAGACACGGUCCAGACUCCUACGGGAGGCAGCAGUGGGGAAUAUUGGACAAUGGGCGCAAGCCUGAUGCAGCCAUGCCGCGUGGGUGAAGAAGGCCUUCGGGUUGUAAAGCACUUUCAGCGGGGAGGCGUUACCCGAAGAAGAAGCACCGGCUAACUCCGUGCCAGCAGCCGCGGUAAUUC